GACGAACGCUGGCGGCGUGCCUAAUACAUGCAAGUAGAACGCUGAAGGAGGAGCUUGCUUCUCUGGAUGAGUUGCGAACGGGUGAGUAACGCGUAGGUAACCUGCCUGGUAGCGGGGGAUAACUAUUGGAAACGAUAGCUAAUACCGCAUAAGAGUAGAUGUCGCAUGACAUUUGCUUAAAAGGUGCAAUUGCAUCACUACCAGAUGGACCUGCGUUGUAUUAGCUAGUUGGUGAGGUAACGGCUCACCAAGGCAACGAUACAUAGCCGACCUGAGAGGGUGAUCGGCCACACUGGGACUGAGACACGGCCCAGACUCCUACGGGAGGCAGCAGUAGGGAAUCUUCGGCAAUGGACGGAAGUCUGACCGAGCAACGCCGCGUGAGUGAAGAAGGUUUUCGGAUCGUAAAGCUCUGUUGUAAGAGAGGAACGAGUGUGAGAGUGGAAAGUUCACACUGUGACGGUAUCUUACCAGAAAGGGACGGCUAACUACGUG
rnacentral:rRNA from 1 species